AAGACAUGCUGCGCAUGCGUCGCCAUUUUGCGCAGCCAUUUUAAGCAAGGCGUGACGACAAAACUUGACAGGAAGACGGCUCAGCCGCCGAGUUUGUGUCGUACUCUGUACAAACAUUGGUCGUAGCAGACAUAAGUGUUUAUUCGUUACCGGAGAAACUCGUCGGAGUGAGACGCUCAAGCUAGUUUAGCGUGCUAGCUUAGCGUGCUAGCUGCCAGCAAAGACGCGCGGAUGUGAUCAGAGCGUCCAUCGCUCUGCAGAGAUCAAGUGCUGAGAUUAGCGUGUGAAAUGUGUAAGGUACGAAUGCUGAGGGCGUUGGUGAACGACCGACUAAGUGCUGCUGUCGAAGAAAUAUUCGGAGCGUUUGAAAGAACCUUAGCGGAGUACGAGGAGGAACUUUGUCGGACGAAAGAGGAAAACGAGCGACAACGUCAACUACUGGACGCUGUUUUCAAGUCUCAAGAUGACCCACACAGAGAAGACGUCAGUGAAGAAGAUGUUCGUCCUGAGCAGCAGGAGUGGAGCUCCAGGGUGGAGCAGGAGGAGCCAGAGUCCCCCCACGUUAAAGAGGAAGAGGAGGGAGAGCAACUUAACGGACCAGAGUUGCCAGUGAUUCGUGUCAUUGUGAAGAGUGAAGAUGCUGCAGACAAAAGUCAGAGUGAGCAGAACAUUAGGCCGGCGCCUCCGACCAGCAGCUCACGUCAACACAUGACAACAAAAGGAGUUGAAGACCACCAUGGUGGAUCCCAAGGCGACAGCCUCUUAGCGCCGCUCUCCGAUAGUGACGACACGUCGUCACACUCUCAUGACACUGAUGAUGAACACACUAAAGGUGCUACGACAUGUCUCACAGUCCACAAGCAUUUGAAAUGCUCUCAGUGUGACAAAACGUUUUACGACAAUAGUAAUCUGAAAAGACACAUGAGAAGUCACACAGGAGAGAAACCGUACGUCUGCUCAGUUUGUGGUAAAACAUUUGCUCACAAGGGAAAUUUGACAACACACACAAGAACACACACUGGAGAGAAACCAUUUUCCUGCUCAGUCUGCAGCACAAAAUUUAGUGAUCAUUCUGUACUGAUUCGACACAUGAGAAGACACACUGGGGAGAAACCUUUUACUUGUUUGGUGUGUGGGAAAGGAUUCCUUGUGAAAGGAUCUUUAAAAGCACACACAAGAACACACACUGGGGAAAAGCCUUUUACAUGCUCAGUUUGUGGUAAAACAUUCUCUCAAAACUCACAUUUGAGAACACACACAAGGACGCACACUGGAGAAAAAUCUUAUUCUUGCUCAGUCUGCAACACAACAUUUGGAGGUCGAGCUGCUUUAUUUUGGCACAUGACAACACACCAUGGACAUUGAUCAUCAAUUUAAUAAAAGAUUAACUUGAAAAAGACAAUAAUUAGUUCCGGUGAAUUGUGCUUCGAAUUUCUGCGCUGGUCAUGUCGUGGUACAUGCUGCUGCUUUGCAUUCGGAUAGCACAGGUUAGAUUCCCAGUUAGUGUAGAAAUUCCCAAGCCUGGAUAAAAAUAGGUGGGUUGCGUCAAGAAGGGCCAAACAAGUGACGUGAGUAAUUCUCUAUGGCAACCCCUGACUUGGAAAAGAUGAAACUCUCUUUUAGUGUGCUUCCAACUUCUCUUAAAGUGUCUAACAAACACAAGUAUGUGGGUGAGAAGAGCUGCAAAACCUUGAUAAACUGCAAAGACUUGGAGAAACUUUGACUUUCUAACAAAAGUACCGCUCUUUGAUUGUUGAGGUAGGAACAUCAUACUGACAUACUUUAAUUUUGAAUUAAUUUUGUCAUCAAAAGGAUACCUUGCGUCUUCGGGACUAUCAAAGUGUACAUUUGAAUUGCUAAGGAGAUUUUUUUCUGAAACUAAUUUCGUCUAUUAUAGCCAGAAUGUGAUAUUCUAAAUAUUAUGUAUAAUUAAUUACCGGUAAUGUUAUUAAUUGAUGUACGGUUGGUUUCCCGACUUAAAUAAUAAGGAUCUAGGGGCACAAGGCCUUGACCAAAAGGGAGCGGAAAACAAACUGUGGUUAUUGGGUUCCUCUUUGCAGAAUCAGAAAAUAAGAAACGUCAUCAAGAGACCGAGGCAAAGUUAGAAAGAUGUUUGCAGCUUUUUGAGAAAAUGGUGGACAAAAUGUAACUAUUGUACAAUAACAUUUUUUAAAUGUUAUUAUGUAUAUUGGAUACAUAUUUGUAUAUUUGUGCUGGUUGUUAUUGUAUGCUACUGAUUGAGCUGUGAAAUGUCACACUUUGACAAAAUGUGUUGCUUCUACAAAGAGGUAUUCCUGAAGUGGAUACAAAUUAUGUAGAAAUGAAUGCAACUUAUCUUGUGGUAGUAGCCAUUUAGUAUAAACAAUUUGUUUUCGCACAAUUGACCCAUUUUCUUCAAUUUUUUGGGGAAAAAAAUAAAAACUGUUUGAUCUUAAAAUGUACAAGUCAAUGAAAGCUGGCAGCAAAUAAAAUAUAAACAAAUGAGAAUUUUGCCUUAUCCAGUGUGGACGCUGUCAGAAAUUACUACAGCCAGUCUGUCCCUUGUAGGGUUGCCUUAUGCUUCAUUGCUUGCAGCUUGUUCACAUGGAGGCUGGGGUUCAGGCCAUAUCCUCAUCAGGAACCACCACGUCCCUAUUAUCAAUUCCCACACUGUGCAGGAAGGCACAGGAGGCGAUGAUCUGAGGCGCAAAGGUGGGCUUCACUUUUGAGUUUUCGGAAAGCGUUGACUUAUUUUGUCUUCAUCAUCCCAAACACUGUAAAUUACACUUCCAUGCUAUGGAAUGGUAGUAGUUGAACUGUUGCUGGACUUUUCUGUGAACAGGUUGCUUAUAUGGUGUGGUCAGCCACAGAGUACCCACCAUCAUCGAGGACAGGGGUGUCAAACUGCAAAAUAUGUUGCCUGUAGUAGAAACCCUUGUAUUUAUGAUAGCCUAAUCCAUCUGGUGAAUUUUUGGGUGGUUUAAUGCGCAUGUGGCUUCCAUCUAUUGCCACCACAACAUUUACAAAUAAAAGUGUUCCUGACAAUUUGACAAACCCUUCUCCAGCUAGUGUCAAGCACCUAGUGCGAAGGAGAUGCCUUUGAAAGGGUACACAUUUGUACACUUUGUAAAGUGCGCCCACACUCAUAGUUGCCUAUGAUUUUGGAAAAUAAUAGAAAUGCUCCCUCCAAUAUAAUCAGUAGUGCUUCCAAUGGAGAAGGACACUUGUCAGCCAAGGAUGGUUUUGUGGCACUGGUGAGUCGCUCAGGAAGUGGCAACCACAGGUAUAAAAAUAGAUUGAUAGGACACAAAAAAAAUGAAGAGCUUAACACAUUCAAUUGUUUUUUGUAAAACACUAAAUGAAAUUAAUGAAUAACAAGAAGCAUAUUAUAGAAUUUCAGUGUUAAAAAUAUCAUUUUGGUUAAAGAGCUUCUACACAUACUGGUGAAUUAAGCAUUACAUUAUCAUAAAACAAUUGGUGUUUUAUGUUUUAUGUUUUCUGGCAACUUUGAAAGUUGUUUUUUUGCAUCACCGUUGAGCUGUGAAGUUGCAUCAUUCAACAUCACCACUUUGGAUCACUGUUGAGCUGUGAAGUUGCAUCAUUCAGCAUCACCACUAUUGCUUACUCCACAGCUCUAUGACGUGUUGAUAGUCUGUGGUUGGUACUGUGCCAAGACCAGAUGUUUGAGAAAGUUUUUGUGGCACCAUACUUUAUUUAAGCACGGUGUACAGAAAUGUUACAUCUCCUAAUCCUCACACUUCUGCUCAGUGAAAGUAUGUCAAGUCCUGUACUGAGAAGAACUAACAACCAUGAAGCAAAAAUUGAGUUUCAUUACUCCAGCAACCUUCAGCCAUAUGCUAGACAUACUGAUGAUUAUGGUGAGAAACCGCUGCCUGACCCACAUGACGAAAAUCCUUUCUACCCAAACCUGGAGAAUGAUUAUUGAAGGAAACUCCUUGUCAGCCUUGCAGAUGCUCCUUAGACAGAAUUCCCCAUUUUAAACGUAUUCUAACUGUUCCACUAUUGCUACCUGUGUUGUACAAAUAAAAUCUCAGCAAUUCUUAAGACUGUCACUGUAACAACAAGGCUGCAGACAC